AUAUAGGAGGCUAUGAUAAGGAAGAGAAAGCAGCCAGAGCUUAUGAUCUAGCAGCAUUGAAGUACUGGGGCACCACUACCACUACAAAUUUCCCUACAAGCAACUACGAGAAAGAAAUUGAAGAAAUGAAGCACAUGACCAGGCAGGAGUAUGUUGCAUCUCUUCGAAGAAAGAGCAGUGGUUUUUCUCGUGGAGCAUCAAUCUAUCGAGGAGUUACAAGGUAAACUUAACCGGAUUGAUUGUGACAUAUCUGCAUUCUUACAUAUCUUUCAUUCAGCUUUUCCUCAUCUGUAUUAGGCCAAUGUUGAUGAGUUUUAGUUCUGUCUUUUUUUCCUUUUUUUCAAUGCACUGUCAUCUUAAAAGGCACUUUGAAGUAAGAAUUCUUCUGCAUAUGUACUGGUUUAGUACCUUGUUGUGAAGAAAUUAUUGCGCAAAAG